ensembl:rRNA 5S_rRNA 5S ribosomal RNA
GCUUAUAAUCAUACUAUCCUGAAUGUGUUUGAAUGUCUGAUCUCAUCUGGUCUUGUCGAAGCUAAGCCAGGGUUGGGCCUGGUUACUACCUGAAUGGGAAGCUUCCUGGGAAUACUGUGUGCUGUAGGCU